AGUCAUUUGUUGGUGCUGGUUUUUUUUUUUUUUUUUCCCCCAAGAUUCUGAUUGGCUAGCAUGGCUUCAUGUUUCUCAUUACAUUGCCCCCUACAGGUUUAGAAUGCUCAUUGCAGCUCUGCACCAAGUGUGUGUGUGU